GGAAGCCAGUUUAUUUUACCUCGGCCUUCCCGUCUGUGUCCCGGAGCCGGGGAUGACACCUUAUUUGCUGAGACCCACUGUGUGCCUGGCCCCAUGGGGCCCUGGACCAGAAGCCAAUGCCUGUGGGAUGAGGGGAUGACGGGCGGGCGGCUGGGCCCGGUUCCCCUGUGACCAGGGCGUGAGCCACAGCCCCGAACCAGCCCCUCUGCGCUUCCGGCUCCUUCACCGAGAAAUGCCCCCUCACGGACGUGCUGCGGGAACCCCCGGGGCGAAUGCAGCUGCAGGUCCGGGGUUCCUGCGAGUGCCUGAACAGAAAACCACUCGUUUCCCUUCGCAAGAGAGGUGCCCAAAGCAGAGAUUUCAAUAUAUUCCAAUUUAGCCAAGGGAAGCCAGAACAUGGAUGCUGUUGCCAAGGAAACCACCUCCUUCCUCCCCGUGUGCUGCACAUACGUGGAUCACUUCAUCUCUCCGCUCUCCAAGGAGCCUACGGAGAACACAGAUGCUUGGGACCCAGCCCAGACUUCCAAAUCAGAAUGUGCAGGGAUGGCCUGGGGUCUGGGCCCUAGGUGAUUCUGACCUGGGCCUGUUGUGACCUGGUCCAAGAUGCAGUCAAGGAGACAAGACCCUCCAACAUGAAGUGGCCCAAGGAAGCAACAGGUACCAUCCACCUGCCUCUGUCUAAGCAGACAUCUUCUCCUGCGGCUAUUUUACCUGGGACUCUUCAAGCCAUCUGGAAAAACUCCAAUGGUGGGGUGACACUUUCCAGAGGCCUGGCAUCUAGCCCCCACUCACCUGCCCAGUUAUCUCUGCCACUUUGCCCUUCACUCCCUCUGGACCGGAUGCACAGAGCUCCCAGCAUCUCCAGGCAGCCCCUCCCUCUCUCUCACUUUGGAGCUCAUCACUCCACCUGGCACACGUGGCAGGGGCUCUAUACACCCUCCCCGAGUUGAUGGAUGACCCGUCCAGCAGCAUGGAGGAAGCGGGACUAUGCCCCAGAACAGAUCUGCCCCCUACUUCUCUGCCCUUAGGGGGAGCCUGCCAGAUGGCCUCUCACCCUCAUAGCGUUUCUUUCUUAAGCCUCAGACCCUUCCCCGCCUCCUAGUAUUGGAUGCCUGAGCCUCAACCGGGUGCCUCCAACGGCCUCCGGAGCCCCAGCUACCUUAGGCAGCCUUAAUUAAUUGUAAAAUUGAUGAAGCGGCCCCCUUUGUUAGGCUGGGCUGGUGUUUAUUUGUAUUUUCAUAUUAUUAUCCUUUUAUACUUCUCUGGGCGCCUUCCGCUCUCUACUGACACCUUUUAUUGGGGAAAUGUUAAUUUAAAAAUCAUCUAUAAUGCAGGUGUCACAAAUCAAAGCUGUUCGGUAAUGAGUUGCUCUUAUGUCGUAUAAAAACAAUUAAUUAAAACCCUUUCUGAGAGAGCCGUGCCGGCAGAUUUAUGUUUCCCAGUGUCUCCCCUCGACCUUCCUUUUUAAGGACCCUCGUGCACUCAUCUGCCUUCUGUGGGAGGAUGGUUUCCUCCUACCUCUGCCCAGGAAAUAGAGUCCUAGCCCGGUGGA
rnacentral:lncRNA from 1 species